rnacentral:rRNA from 1 species
GUCAAAUCAUCAUGCCCCUUAUGACCUGGGCUACACACGUGCUACAAUGGACGGUACAAACGGUUGCCAACCCGCGAGGGGGAGCCAAUCCGAUAAAACCGUUCUCAGUUCGGAUUGUAGGCUGCAACUCGCCUACAUGAAGCUGGAAUCGCUAGUAAUCGUGAAUCAGCGAUGUCACGGUGAAUACGUUCCCGGGUCUU